AGUUGUGACUGUGUCGGUGUUUGUACGUGUGUUGCCGGCCGCGCGCAGCGAAGAAAGUGGCCCUUGUCGUGAAGAAGGGGUCAGGGGAGGAGAGGUUCAGAUGUCAAGGAUCCCAGGCGGGCUUGACAACUGCCGUUCCACGCCCGGGCGAGAGCCAGCCUGUGGAACGGUUGCGCCGCCGAGCGUGGUACAAGCCUGAUAUUGGCCGCCUCAGCGAUGAAGACAGCACCGCCAUGCUGCCGGAACUGCGACUGAGUGUUCUGGAGACUCGUAUCGGCGAGCUGGGAAGAGGAGUCCGUGCUUCGCCAACUCGCUGUUCCACAACACAAGUCAUCGGGCGAGCCUGCAGUGGCAGCCAACUGCGGGCUUAUUAGAGGCAAGUUACGAUAUGCAUUCGUGUGGCGUUAACAUUCUCAUCGUAACAUCAGAGUUUUACGUGGAUUAUGUUCAGGCAAUUCAUUAUAAAUUUAUCUAUGGUAAUUUUGUGAUUUUGACUACAAUGCUGGAAUAUAAUUAAUCUUAUAUGAUGUGCAACUCUAGUGUCAUGUUAGCUCACCGCCGAUAACAUCACAACUGCUGUGUUGCGUUUAGAACACACGCCAGUGAUAGGACGUCUCCCACGUGUGUGCGUGACAGGUCGCGUGUUGUACAGUCACGUGUCGCGCGCCGUACAGUCACGUGCGCGUCAAGGCCUGCAACUGCCGCCCAAGGCCGACUUGACACUGUCUUACUUCAGGGGCUCCCAGUUUUGUAGGUAAUGUUAAAUAAAUGCUGUUCGGGAAAAUAUGGUUUUAAAUAGUUUCGGUAUAAGAAAAUAGAACACUUAGGGUUACCGGAUGAGUAACAUAAAAAAACAACUAAAUGUCAACAAAAAGGAGAACGCACCUUGACAAUACACUGAAACGUUUUUCUUAAGUGCUCAGUAAACAUAGAUUUUCGUUAGGUUUUACAACCGGGAUAUUAAACGAUACAGACACUUAUCUCCAACAAUGAACAAUUCUAAACAAACGCUGCUGGUAAAAACUUAAAUUAAAAAUUUUAAAUACCUCCGACUUUGCAAUUAUCACUUGAAGCUAUUAUUAUUAAUUAAAAUGCAUUAAACACUAUAAUCGUAUUUUACCAUUGCUUAGUUUUUGUAAUCUGUACAAUAAUGCACCAUCCAUACCAUACUACAUCAGGUCAAGGUUACAAUGUUCUUGAAAUACAAUUGAAGUAACAUGAUACCAAGUUUCGAAUCAAUCAGACCUGUGAAAGUCGCUCUCAACCCUUCAUCAACAAAAAAGACCUGAUGAUCUUCAAACGGCUGAGCAUAUUUUCUUGAAUCAUAGCUAAGAACACUCUCGAUAAAGUCACCUUUUAAAUUAAAAAACUAAAUUAAAUCUGUUGGUUCGUUUGGUAGCUACGAUGCCACAGACAGAUACACAAAUACACACAAACUUAAAACACGCCUCUGUUUGCAACGUGCGUUGACAAGAGUAGCGGGGAGGAUAGAAAUAUAUAUUAAAACAUAUAUUAAAUAUAUUCUUUCACCCAGUCUCGUUGAUUACAAGCAAAAUGAAAACAAAAGAGCGGAAAUUUUCUCUCUCUCACUUGCAUUUUAUAAAAAAGACAUUUGCUAGUUUCGCAACUGAAAAUUUAAAAUGACUAUAAAAAGAGGAUUUGUGUGGUCAGUUAACCAUAAAAUUACUGCAAACAUAUAGGUAUAAUGAAUUUUUAUUAAAUUAGAAGUUUUCACUAACGAUUUAUUAACCAAUGUAAACCUAAUCAUAACUAACGAAAAAAAUUUUUUCUUGGAGUUGAAAACAAAAUUGUUUUAUAGUUUAAUGUUUUUUUACUGUAAAAAUUUGUGCUUUGUUGUAAUUUUGUUGUAUAACGAAUAUUUAGAAACUAUAAACUAUAUGAAACUCUAAAUAAUAGCAUAGAGUUGCAAAUCAAUAAUCCUUCAUUGCUAAAACAUUAUGUAUCUAGUUGAUAACAAUUCCUUUUCAAACUGUAUGUGCAUGUAUUUAACUUGAUUAAUACAUUAAAAAAUAGAUCUUCUCAUAUAGGCAGUUUAAACUAUCAUUAUUAGUGGCUUGUUGCAAUAAAAUAAUGUUUUUUAUUGUCAAAAUAUCAAAUAUGAAAUUAUUUCCUUUUUUCACGUGUUUUCUGAACAAAGCUUCACCACAGACGUGCAUUUAUUGACGUCUCCUUUUCAGCAAAAGAAAGCAAUAGCAGCGGAACAUACUCCUGAAGUUAUUAAUUUUCAGAGACUUCUUCUGAGAAGAUUUAAAUUAUUCUUAGUGAUAUAGCAAGUAGUCCUACCGGUAAUAAUACCAUACCAUAAAAGUAAAUAAGACCACUCCAGAUGUAAAAUAAAAUUAAAAAAAACCCUAAUUGUGCAUGACCCACCGUGACCAAUAACAUGAGAACCAAACAACUUGCUGUUAGAUCUGAGGAAAUAUAUGUAAUUGAUAGUAAUAUAUAUUGUGCUUGUAGAAAAGUCUUA